rnacentral:rRNA from 1 species
UACGGGGGGCGCAAGCGUUGUUCGGAUUUACUGGGCGUAAAGGGCGCGUAGGCGGUCGUGACAAGUCACUUGUGAAAUCUCCGGGCUUAACUCGGAACGGUCAAGUGAUACUGUCGGACUAGAGUACAGAAGGGGCAACUGGAAUUCUCGGUGUAGCGGUGAAAUGCGUAGAUAUCGAGAGGAACACCUGCGGCGAAGGCGGGUUGCUGGGCUGAUACUGACGCUGAGGAGCGAAAGCGUGGGGAGCGAACAGG